rnacentral:lncRNA from 1 species
GGGAAAUUACAAAGAUAAGAGCAGAGGCUAAUGGAAUUGAGACUAAAAGUAUACAAAGGGUCAGUGAGCCGGCCUUGGUUCCUCGAAAGGCCGCGGGAGCCGGGAGGGAAGCGGGGAGGAGACAGGGUCGGGAGCCGCGCGCACUUGCACGGAUCUCCCCCAUGGACGUGUUCGCUGCUCAGUGAGGCCUGCACUCACAAACACUUCAGGAGAAGGUCAAGCGCGGGCCGGUCACCGUCUGUCCGGAAGCUGCACUCCCUGGCUCAGACUCAAGGAACCGAGAGAGGGGUCAGCCGAGCGCACAGCAGCGCUGCUGCCCGGGCCGAGGGUGGAGACCGCCAGCGCCGCCGGCAGGGUGGGCAAGUGCUCACCACAAGCUUCACCCCCAGCCGUGAAUGUUGUCGUCAGAAGUCACACGCUGGCAUGGAAACCCUCCUCCGUCCCUGGGUGGUGCUGUGUGGUCUCCCCGUACAUGGACAAGACAGUCAUCUGCUUUCAACGCCCUCAGGGGAGGGGCAGCCAGAUUGUGUCCAGACGUCUCUGCUGCUACCAUUGUUGAGCUAAACGUCACCCACACAACCCCCCCUUAGUGACAAAUGUGCGGGUGUGUUUAAAACGCAGCCACAUGUCCUUCCACGCUGAGGACACGUCCUGAGGACUGUUGUUACGCAACUUCCCCAUCGCAUGAACAGCCCCAAGUGCGCGUCCUCAGCUCGUCACCCACGUGCUCUCCGGUGCGGUCAGGAGAUGCUAAGUGGGGGGCGCAGCGUGUGGCC